GGAGCGCGGCGGCCGUUGGGGCCGGUAGGGGGAGACCGGCAGCGCGUCUGGUACCGUGCGGCUCGGGGGGGGGUGGUUGUGCAGUGGAGGGACGUCGUCGUCUCCAGGGCGAUAACCGUGACCAGCGGCAGGGGGUUGAGAGGAGGAGGGGAGCAGGCUGGGGCCGUGCCCGCUGCCCUGGGCAGCCGUUCCAUGCCCACCGCCCUGUGGUGCAGCCCCUUUCCCUCACCCCCCGCUGCCCCUCCCCUGACAGCUCCAUGCCGUUCCCUCGGGCCCUGUUCCCACCCGCCACCGCUCAUGGAGCAGAGGCUGUGGUACGUGCUGAGGAAGAAGGACUUGGAAGAUCUUGAGAACAGACACUGCUUCUGUGGUCUGAUUCUUGUAGAAGCAGUGACUGCGUUCCCUCAGGAACUGAGGACUCCUGGAAGGAAGAGGGAAACACAGAAUCUGCUGGUUUUAGUGAGAAAGUGCUCGGUGAGAUGCUGGAUGAGGGUUUGCGUUCUGGUCCUGUGCCAGGAACAAUGCAAGCAAUGGCAGUCAGAUAUGAAAGCAUAACAAUGUAUGUGUGUGGGGACUGGAAGUCUGUUGUCCCUCUGGCCUGUUUAAACUCCCAGACACUGAGAGAGUCCCUUCUCAUUCUUUCCCUUUAGAAAGAACAUUUUGGAAUUUUAGAAAGGAACCUCUCUUUCUCUCCAAUGAAUAGAACGUGUGUGCACAUACUUACUCAUUUAAAAGCAUAUACAGACAUUUAAAUAUUAGACCAAAAGUUUUUCAUUAUAUAUAUCUAUACCAGAUAGAGAAGAAGUAGGUUGAAAUAUCUGAUGAUGUGACGCUUUUCCGAGUGACAUUUGGUCAGAAGGAUGCUUGGCAGUGCUAAUUUUUAAACAUGCUUUUAGGACCUAGUACAGUGCAAGAGGGUAAAAUAUAUUUUAGAUGCAUUAUAGAGCAUUGUGGUGUAGUGAUGUUUAUAGCCUAGUCAAGGAGAGAACCUCAAAUUGCAAAUGUAUCUAAUAAGUAUUUGAUGAUUUUGCUUUCCUCCAGCAAUGGUGAAGCUCCACUGAUUUGUCUGUAUCAGGGUUUUGUCCCAUUCGUUUUGUAGCGUUCCCAUUUACUUCCUAUACCUACUGAGCUCCUUACAGGGCUUUCUUUCCAACUGCCUACAGAGUUUCUCCUGUGGCCGUCUCUAAGUGUGCUGCAUUUCCUCAAAGCAUCUUCUUAUUCAUCCCAUCUCCUGUUUUAUGUUGAAAGCUUUUAAAAUACAUUUUAAUGAUGCAUAGCAGCAAUAUAAUGAGCCUAAUAGCAUGCUAUUGAUUUUCAUUUGCGACACUGGCAUUCAAACAUUUCAAUAGUGUUUUAAGAGUGUGUAUAUUUAAUGUGAUUCAAAGACAGGGCAAAUGCACUACAAUAUUUAUCUGCUAAAAAAAACUCCACUAUCUCUUACCAACUGAAUCCUCCCUCCAUCCUCCCCCGCAAUGUUUGUUGCAAUCAGCUGCAUUAGAAGUAUAUCAUUUUCAGUGUCUUAAAACAAGCAAGCCAAAAUCCUUGGUACAAGGAAGUAAAGGGGAAAAACAACAGGUCACUGUAUCUGCACAUAUCUUUGUUUAUCUGCUGUGGUCACAGUGAAGAUAUUAAAGAUGCAGACCCAGUCAGUGCUGUUGGUGAAUGCAGUGUUUUAGCUUCAGAGUGAAGAAAGCUGCUCCAGGAUACUCUCUAGAUAGGAAUUAGCUGAGUUAUGGAACACACUAGCUCAGGCUAAGAAAAACGAGCAGAAAAAUGAGACUGGCAAAUGUACACAUCACCAUAAGAUAAGAUAACCGUUCUCAUUUGCUCGAUAACCUGGUAGUUACACCCUACAGAGAGCACUGCUUUCGGGAGCAGUUUCUGUGUACUCAGUGAGCAGGAUGUGAAGCAGCCAUUCAGUUCACUCUGAAUGUAUGUGCAGUGUCACCUGCAUGUAUGACCACUUGGAGGUAAUGCUAUAACAGCAGCGUUGACAAGCUGCACCAGCCACACAUACACACACCAGAUGGCUGUGCUACUGUUCAGCAGGACCUGGACAGACCUGUGAGUUGGGCAGAGAGAAACCUGAUGAGCUUCAGCAAGAACAAGCACGGGAUCCCGUACCUGGGAAGAAAUAACUGCAUGUAUCAGUACAGAUGAGGGGCUGACCUGCUGGAAAGGAGCUCUGUGGGGAAGGACUUAGGUGUUCUAGUGGACAACAGUUUGGCCUUCAGCCAGCAGUGUGCCACUCUGAGGUACUGUGGCUCCCCAGUUCAAGAACGAGAGGAAGAGAGGGAACUUCUUGAGAGAAUCCAGCAGAGGCCUGCAAAGAAGAUGAGGGGCCUGGAGCAUCUACACUAUUGAGGAAAGGCUGAGAGACCUGGGGCUGUUCAGCCUGGAGAAGAGUAGGAUGAGAGGGGAUCUCAUCACUAUUUAUAAAUACCUAAAAGGUGGGAGUCAAAUCAAUGAGGCCAGGCUCUUUUUGGUGGUGUGCAGUUACAGGACAAGGGAUAAUGGGCAAAAGCUGCAGUACAGGAAAUUCCAUACCAACACGAGGAAGAACUUCUGUACUGUGAGGGUGACAGAGCACUGGAACAGGCUGCCCAGAGAGGUUGUGGAGUCUCCUUCUCUAGAGGUAUUCAAAAUCCUCCCUGGAUGCUUUCCUGUGCAACCCACUGCAGGGAACCUGCUUUAGCAGGGAGUGUGCUAGUCCCCAGAGUUCCCUUCCAACCCCAGUGAUUCUGUGUGUGAUAUUGCUGUAGCUCCUUGUGUUAUAAGGAAAGACGCUAUUUUUCCAGGGCUUUGACAUGCUUUAUUUGAGACUGUUUAUAACAAAUGAAUAAAAAUGAAAUUGACAGAGUGUCGCUCAUAUAUUACAAAUCAGUUAUCUGUACAGACGUAAAUGUGUGUGACUAUCUGAAGAUAUUAGGAAAUGCAGUUUCUGCUCUGUGGGUUGACUGAAUAUCAGUAACGUGGAGAGAGAGAGUGAGACAGAAAGAGAGACAGAGACAGAGAAGUACUAGAGAUACAUGGAAGACUUAUGCUUUUGUAAGGACUUCAGUUUUCUUGCUUUCUCAAUACGCAGCUGUUGGUUUGUAACCACAUCAACCAACAGAAUCUCCUGACAGGGCUUGACUCAGAUAUUACUGCCGUUGAGUGAAACUACACAGGUUUUGCUAUCAAGCUAAAAAAAUCAGCUGCUUUAAUUACCAUUUAUUUCAUUUUUUUUCUAAUCUUUAUACUUUCCUUUAAAGGUCGUGAUGCAAAAAUUCCUGAGAAUGUGUAAAUGAUUCUGAAGUUUAAGAAGCUUUUUGAAUCAGUUAACAGUUUCCAGUGUGCAAGUUGGGCUGAAAUUAAGAUACCAGUCUUGAUUCUAAGAAGUUACCCAAGGAAUCCUAAAACAUGCAACGGAUGAGGUACCUAAGACAGACAUGGGCACGUGUUUUGUGUCAUACAUUAAAACAUAUGUGAAGUUCAA